rnacentral:lncRNA from 1 species
AGAGAAUGGCAGUUGCAACCCUUGUGUGUGUGUGAGAGAGAGAGAGAGACUGUCUCUGUAUCUCAAAGCAUAUUUUUAUGAGGUUCUGGAAAGAAGCUGGUCUGGGAUAAUUGUUGCUGGAGACACUGAGAGGCACUGAAAGCACCAGCAGGCAUUUUUUGACUAAACCCAAGAAAUUCGUAAAAUGUAAGACACAGUGUGAAAGGAGGGGGGAAAAAAAAGAGAAGAAAAGAAAAAAGAAAGCCCACUAACUUCCCCCAAACCCAAACUCUGCAGUUGUGAAGCCAAAGGAGCCCUCUGAAGACAGACAGUAAAGUCGACUCCCUGCAACGGAGAGUUCUUGCAAUAAGAGAACACACAAUUUUUCCUAAUUUCAUUUAUGCAAGCGAGAAUUGGGAAUGCCAGCACAGAGUCACAGAGAAGUGUGAAGGAAAGAAGCCUUUGCAUAAGACUUGGGAUGGAAGACAGGUGAGAAAUCUGCCCAGAAUACCAUGGCGUGCAAGGUCAGAGGUGGGAGAUAUUCAAGCCUUUCCCAAUUUCUUUGCCAUUUCUCUGCAACUUUCCAGUUGGGUUUGUUCACAUUCUGUCACCCCAGGUAUG